rnacentral:pre_miRNA from 1 species
ACCUGGUCCUUGGGAGCCAAACCUGUGGUCUGUCCCUCUUCACAGAUUUGGCUCCCAGGGACCAGG